rnacentral:rRNA from 1 species
GAUGAACGCUGGCGGCGUGCCUAAUACAUGCCAGUCGAGCGAACAGACGAGGAGCUUGCUCCUCUGACGUUAGCGGAGGACGGGUGAGUAACACGUGGAUAACCUACCUAUAAGACUGGGAUAACUUCGGGAAACCGGAGAUAAUCCCGGAUAAUAUAUUGAACCGCAUGGUUCAAUAGUGAAAGACGGUUUUGCUGUCACUUAUAGAUGGAUCCGCGCCGCAUUAGCUAGUUGGUAAGGUAACGUCUUACCAAGGCAACGAUGCGUAGCCGACCUGAGAGGGUGAUCGCCCACACGGGAGCUGAGACGCGGUCCAGACUCCUACGGGAGGCAGCAGUAGGGAAUCUUCCGCAAUGGGCGAAAGCUUUACGGAGCAACGCCGCGUGAGAUAUGAAGGUCUUCGGAGCGGAAAACUCUGUUAUUAGGGAAGAACAAAUGUGUAAUGAACUAUGCACGUCUUGACGGUACUUAGUCAGAAAGCCACGGCUAACUACGUG